UGGUGCCAGCAGCCGCGGUAAUUCCAGCUCCAAUAGCGUAUAUUAAAGUUGUUGCAGUUAAAAAGCUCGUAGUUGAAUUUCGGGAUUAGUACGUUGGUCGUGCCUUAGGUACGUACUGGUGUUACUGGUUCCUACCUUCUGACGAACCAUCAUGUCAUUAAUUUGGUGUGGCGGGGAAUCAGGACUGUUACUUUGAAAAAAUUAGAGUGUUUAAAGCAGGCUCGCGCUUGAGUACAUUAGCAUGGAAUAAUGAAAUAGGACGUUGAUCCUAUUUUGUUGGUUUCUAGGAUUGACGUAAUGAUUAAUAGGGAUAGUUGGGGGCAUUAGUAUUCAAUUGUCAGAGGUGAAAUUCUUGGAUUUAUUGAAGACUAACUACUGCGAAAGCAUUUGCCAAGGAUGUUUUCAUUAAUCAAGAACGAAAGUUAGGGGAUCGAAGACGAUCAGAUACCGUCGUAGUCUUAACCAUAAACUAUGCCGACUAGGGA
rnacentral:rRNA from 1 species